rnacentral:rRNA from 1 species
AGCGAACGCUGGCGGCAGGCCUAACACAUGCAAGUCGAACGGCAGCACAGUAAGUGUUUGCUCUUACGGGUGGCGAGUGGCGGACGGGUGAGGAAUACAUCGGAAUCUACAUUUUCGUGGGGGUUAACGUAGGGAAACUUACGCUAAUACAGCAUAUGACCUACGGGUGAAAGCAGGGGAUCUUCUGACCUUGCGCGAUUGAAUGAGCCGAUGUCGGAUUAGAUAGUUGGCGGGUUAAAGGCCCACGAAGGCGACGAUCCGUAGCUGGUGUGAGAGAAGGGUCAGCCACACUGGAGGUGAGACACGGUCCAGACUCCUGCGAGAGGCAGCAGUCGGGAAUAUUAGACAAUGGGGGCGAGCCUGAUCCAGCGAGACGACGUAGGUGAAGAAGGCGUUCGGGUUGUAAAGCCCUUUUGUUGGGAGAAAAACGCAGCAGUUUAAUACGCAGCUGUACUGACGGUACCCGGAGAAGAAGCACCGGCUAACUUCGUG